GGAGAGAAGGUAAGCUAUUGUUGUAAUUUUAAUGGACAAGCAAGCUACAUGGUAAUAAAUAUUCAAUAGUAAAUGAGCUCGAUAGAACUUUUUUCAAGUCUUUUUGAAUUUUUUAAGAUUCAUCAUACGUGGCGUUGUUACACCUAGGGAGGAUCCAUUAUAUCUUACAGCUCGAUAUAAGGCAACCCGUCAGGUUUCCAGCCUAUAUACUUUGAAUCUUUAAAAUAUUUAAAAAAAGGUUGGAGAGAAGGUCAGCUAU
rnacentral:lncRNA from 1 species